rnacentral:rRNA from 1 species
AUACGGAGGGUGCAAGCGUUAUUCGGAAUCACUGGGCGUAAAGGGUGCGUAGGCGGUUUGAUAAGUCUGAUGUGAAAUCCUAUGGCUCAACCAUAGAACUGCAUUGGAAACUGUCAGACUAGAAUACUGAAGGGGCAGAUGGAAUUAGUGGUGUAGGGGUAAAGUCCGUAGAUAUCACUAGGAAUACCGAAAGCGAAGGCGAUCUGCUGGGAAGUUAUUGACGCUGAGGCACGAAAGCGUGGGGAGCAAACGGGAUUAGAAACCCUAGUAGUCC